ACGAACGCUGGCGGCGUGCCUAACACAUGCAAGUCGAACGGUUCAGGAGGCAAGAAACGAGAAGCGUGAGGCAAGAGAACAAGAGGGAUUGGUUUUUGGCCAAUUUCAGCUAAGGAGAUUUGCUUCAUGCGUCUGGUUUCUUGUCUCCUGGAUAGUGGCGGACGGGUGAGUAACGCGUGGGUAACCUUCCUAUCAGAAAGGGAUAACACCGGGAAGCUGGUGUUAAUACCAGAUACGCUUUAGAGGAGGCAUCUUCUUUAAAGGAAAGGACAACCGCUGAUAGAUGGGCCCGCGUCCCAUUAGCUAGUUGGUGGGGUAGAGGCCUACCAAGGCGACGAUGGGUAGCCG
rnacentral:rRNA from 1 species